ACUCAAACCAGCUGUAUUAAGGAAGGUGCAAGCUUUUGGGAUUUCUGUUUGGAUUUAGUUUAGGUUCAAAAGAGCACGCACAGAUCCUGAGUGUUGUCAAGCACCCGUGACUGGGAAACGGAGGCGUCCGAUCCGUAUUGGAGUCAAUUCGCCACUUAAUUGAACACAGCCUCGAAGGGAAGGGCCAUAUUUGUGGGCCUGUCUAACAAUUAAGAGUGACCACAUGGAAUGGGGGAUGAAAGGGUUAAAGAAGAACAAAUAUUGAACACAGCUUUUCUAUGAACAAACUGCAGGCAGCUGCUGCUUUGCAAGAAAAACCCUUUGAAAAGAUUCAGCACGUUGCCAUGGAGAACAUCCCACUGAAGGAAUGUAUAGAAGUAGCAGGGUUAACUGAGUGCCUUCCAUCUUCCCUCCAAGGGAUCUGCAAUGAGAUGGGAGAAGGCAACAGGCUGUGUGGGAACCACUGAAGCUGGGAUGGCAGGGAAAGAACAUCUUAGGCUAACUCUUCAAGCCUUGCUGUCACAUUUGCUUUUGAGUCUAUGGUGUCAGCUGCCUACCAGUUGCUUUCAUCUCUAGAAAUCUGUGACUUGCAGUAUGACAAGAACAAAAGGUGACAAUACAAAGGACAAAGGGCAAGGAAUACAGACGGAGAAGCCGCUUAGAGUCUAGGAUGGCAGAGGUUCUCUUGAUCAUUUCAUUUUUGAGCGCUUGUAGAGCUUUGGUGUACCAGAGGUGCUUGAACAGCUUACCACACCACAGAUGAAUGGCCUUUGGAUUUCUCCUAAGAAAAUGUGGCUACCUGAAAUUCAACUCCAUUUUCUGGUCUUCAAUAUUUCUUUUGUGUUCAGUUUGCCAGCUGAGGAGAAGUGGCUAAGCAUAGCCUGUUACUGAUGCUAAAGCCCAAGUUCUGAACCUAACAACUCCAGCAACAUGAUCCUGUUUCAAGAGACAAAAAAGUGACUAAUGAAAGAAAACAAUUGAUGUGCUAUGUAGAGUUUAAAAGAAGGUAAAGAGAAUAAAUUAAAAGCAACAACUCUC